GAGCCUACGGGGGGCAGCAGUGGGGGAUAUUGGACAAUGGGGGAAACCCUGAUCCAGCGAUGCCGCGUGAGGGAAGAAGGUUUUCGGAUUGUAAACCUCUGUGGAGGGGGACGAUAAUGACGGUACCCCUUUAGGAAGCCACGGCUAACUACGUGCCAGCAGCCGCGGUAAUACGUAGGGGGCAAGCGUUAUCCGGAUUUACUGGGUGUAAAGGGAGCGUAGACGGCCAGACAAGUCAGAAGUGAAAGCCCAGGGCUCAACCCUGGGACUGCUUUUGAAACUGCCGGGCUGGAGUGCAGGAGAGG
rnacentral:rRNA from 1 species